AGUGAACGCUGGCGGUAGGCCUAACACAUGCAAGUCGAACGGCAGCACAGUAAGAGCUUGCUCUUACGGGUGGCGAGUGGCGGACGGGUGAGGAAUACAUCGGACUCUACUUUUUCGUGGGGGAUAACGUAGGGAAACUUACGCUAAUACCGCAUACGACCUACGGGUGAAAGCAGGGGAUCUUCGGACCUUGCGCGAUUGAAUGAGCCGAUGUCGGAUUGGCUAGUUGGCGGGGUAAAGGCCCACCAAGGCGACGAUCCGUAGCUGGUCUGAGAGGAUGAUCAGCCACACUGGAACUGAGACACGGUCCAGACUCCUAAGGGAGGCAGCAGAGGGGAAUAUUAGACAAUGGGCGCAAGCCUGAUCCAGCCAUACCGCGUGGGUGAAGAAGGCCUUCGGGUUGUAAAGCCCUUUUGUUGGGAAAGAAAAGCAGCAGGUUAAUACCCCGCUGUUCUGACGGUACCCAAAGAAUAAGCACCGGCUAACUUCGUG
rnacentral:rRNA from 1 species